rnacentral:misc_RNA from 1 species
ACCACCACCAGAAAAUAAGGUUGUGUUGCAUCUCUGUUACACUCGUACUCUACAACGCGGCGGGACAGAGAUGGAGAAUAGUCAUCGGCCGUCAGCAGAACCAUCUUUAUUUCUUGUGCAACUGUUUCUCCUCGGCCGUGUUCUAGUGCAGUGCAAACGCAGGAUGGACGCCAUUCGCGCGAGAUAAUUUUUUGUUCGCUCGUGAAGCGGAGUGGAAAGCGUUCGCGAUCGGGCGUGAAGCUAUGCUGAUACAGUGAGUGUGGUGCGCGGUGGUGCUGUGGUUUCGAUCCGGCGGCGGCGUGGAGGUCGGUGCGGGUCUGCGGCGGCGGAGCGGAUGGCGGGCGCGAGCUGAGCGCCCGGGGGCACCGCUCGCGCUCCGCCGCCGGCCCGAUGAGCGGGGCACGUUCCGUGCGGCGGAGGUUAUUUUAUGGGUGUUUGCGUGAGCUGUCGGCGCCGCGAGAGGAAGGCACCGGAGAAGAGGUCGGUGCCAGGAGCGGGCGGGCCCGCUAAGGGCGCGGCGGCAGAACUGCUGCCGCGGCGCGUCAACCGUCUCACAGCCAUGGCCAACUCCAUGUCAAACAUCAAGAUGACCAACCCCAUCAAGGGCAUAGUCAGCAAGCGCCGGAUACGCUACACGAAGCACGGUUUUAACCUGGACUUAGCCUAUAUCACAGACAGGCUGAUAGCGAUGGGUUUUCCCGCCGAGAAGUUGGAAGCAGUCUACAGGAAUCACAUUGACGAGGUGAACAGGUUUCUAGAGAAGAUGCACAAGGAUCAUUACAAGAUAUACAACUUGUGCUGGGAGCGGUCGUACGAUUCGAGCAAGUUUCAAGGGAACGUGGCGAAGUACGCGUUCAAAGACCACAUGCCGCCGAACAUCGAGCUGAUCCAGCCGUUCUGCGAGGACGUGCACAAGUGGCUCAGCACCGACUCGAGGAACGUGGCGGCGGUGCACUGUAAAGCAGGGAAGGGCAGGACUGGUACAAUGGUGUGUUGCUACCUCCUGUACAGCGGUCAGAUGGCGACCGCGGACGAGGCGCUCAAGUUCUACGGCACUAAGAGGACAUUAGACGAGAAGGGCGUGACGAUCCCGUCGCAGCGGCGCUACGUGGAGUACUACGCGGCGCUGCUGCGGUCGGGCGUGCAGUACCGCGCCACGAAGGUGCACGUGCGGUCGCUGGUGCUGUCGCCCGCGCCGCCCGCGCUCAACGGCUCGCACAGCGCGCCCGAGCUCGCCAUCUCGCAGGCGCACCCGCCAUUCAAGACGCCGUCGGGCUGCCAGGAGGUGUCCCGCACGGAGACGGGGCUGCGCGUGCACCUGACGCACUGCACGCCGCUGUACGGCGACGUGCGCGUCGACGUGUACAACAAACCCAAGCUCAAGAUGGGCAAGGAGAAGAUGUUCCACUUCUGGUUCAACACGUUCUUCGUGGCGUCCGAGCUGGCCGAGGGGGCGCAGCGAGUGACGCCGCUGCCCGACAGUCAGUACCGUCCCAACUUGGAAACGUUUAAACUGACAUUAAAUAAGUGGCAGUUAGACGACGCCCACAAGGACAAGCAACACAAAAAUUAUAGCCCAGAUUUCAAGGUGGAGCUGAUCAUCCAGAAGAUGCCGGAGUCGUCGCGGUUCGUGGCGCACGCGGAGUCGCGCGCGGCGUCGGCGGCGUCGUCGUCCGCCUCCUCGUGCUCCGAGCCCGACACCGAGCCCGACGCGCACUGGGACUCCGGUGAGCACGCGCGGCCCCGCGUCAGGGCCUGUUGGCGAGACUUCAGCGGACGGUUCGCGGACCACGGGCGCCAGCGGACCGACGGCGCCUAGCGACUGUCUGUCCGUCUCUUGUCUGUACCGGCGCCGAUGUUGAUUACGCUAACGUCACCUGGCGCAUGUUAACGAGAUUCGUCGAAUCCAGCUCGAGACCUCGUUCAGGGUCUACCCCGCGAACUGUUCACACAUUGAUCCUCAUUAGUCGCAGGGUGAAUUUGUAAAGUGCGGCAAUUGUAGUCUAUCGAUAAGUGACGAUUUGCGAGUGAUGUCAGCUAUUUUAUCGAUAAGUGCGGUAGUGUUGUUUAUUUAUGAUAUUGUGUUUUACAAAUUCAUUCUGUAACGUUUUCGAUAGUAUCGACCUGCUUUGACGGGGCCGGAAAUUGUAUACAAUUAUAUUAUUAUAAAUCGUGUACACUCUCGUAAUAAUAGUUAAGUUCGGAUAGGUGUUCUACGUGAAAAAUAUACGAUAGUAAAGCCACUCGCACACAAUGCAUAAUCGUACACUAGGGAUUCAUCAACUAUUUUUUUUGUGAUGUAAUAACGACUGAAAAAUGCGUAUAUUGUUAUAAUAUUCAAAUGCUUUAAACUUUUGUGCGAUAAAAUAUUAUCGAUAUUUUAAAAUUGUAAUAUGGAUUUCUGGAAACUGAACAGUGCAAAAGUUGCUGAUGAUAUUAAUAUAAUUGAAAGCAAUCAUUUGCGCUAAUAAGCUUGAGUUUCGUUUCAUAUGCUUUCUUAUACGUUUAGUAUAAGACAUUUUCAUAUGGGACUUGUAACAUUUACGUUACUUGAUAGUCAAACAUGUGUUUGAUAUUCAUAGAUUACAAAGCUUACCAAAAUCGUUAUUUAAGUGAUGAAGACUUACAAAAUAAUAUCGAUUUAUUUAAUAAUGCAUCGUAAAUGAUUGUCAAGUAUUGAUGAAUCCUGUGAGUGUUAAAAACAAAGAAGAGCUAUCUUCAUAAUUCUUCGAAUAAAAAAUACAUUCAUUUCUAUUUAUCUAUAACUCUAUAAUAUGAUCUCAUGUACAACGAGUUGUCAUCGUGUGCGAGUGAUUUUAUAAAGGUUGUGCAAGAUAUUAUGGUGCAGCAAUAGAUGUGGAAUGGAUAGGAUCGAACAUUUAUAUAUGGGUUCCAAGAAAACUGGCAGGAAAAGUGAUGGCAGUUAAUAUUGACAUACAUAUUGAAUGUAUGGAUGAGUAUUUGUGUUGAAAUAAAACUACUUCGUGGAUUUUAUUGGGGUUUUUUAUAUUACAAUUUUCUCACGACGUAUUGAAGACUACAUACAGCCUUCGUGGUUACGGGACGUACUCAAAAACAGUGAUAAGAUCCGCCAAAAUAGGUUUAUCUCUGUCUAGCUCUCGUAAACGUAAUAAAUCAAUAUGAGAUUUGUGGUCAAAAUCUCAGGAUGUGAUUGAAAAUUGGUCUAAUUGUUUCUGGAGAAAUACAUUGUGGUUUUUUUGAGUAAUUAUUAUUAUUAUUUUAUUAAAAUAACAUUGAAAUUUUGUUAUUACCGUCUAGUUUUAGUUGAAUUUAGUAGCCACAUCGACAAAUACUGAAGAUAAAUUUUGCAUAGCAAUUUAUAACGGUCGAUAUUCUCCACAACAUUUUGUAUGUAUGUCAAUUAUAGGCGUCUACUUUAUUAUUAUGAGUAAAUAGUUUUUAUAAUUAAUUAAUUAUGUUUAUCGAUUUUAAAUAGUUAUACUUAGAUAAUGGGAGGCGAGCGUAUGUUCGUAUUUGCGAUGAUCUCUUACUAAUAACGAAUUUUCGAUAUGAUUCCGUGGUUAGAUAGCGCGUCAAUAUUCCGCGUCUAUACAAUUUCCAUUUUAUUCAUAUUUUCUAUAUAAUAUAGUGUUUUAUUCGUCGAUAGUCGAUAAAUAACAGUGUUUGUACUAAAAAGUGUUAUCGAUCGAUCGAUAAGUUAUUUUCGAAGCAUGUUCUUGUUAGCGUCAUAUUUUUAUGUUUUAAGAUUGUUAUUGUUUUUUAACGAGUCGAUGUUACACACAGUUUAUUACAGACACUGUGUAAAUCAAGUUUCUAGGUUUUUCCACUCUCUUUCUUUAUAUAAUCUAGUCGCACAAAUGUUUUGGUGUUGAAAUUUUCGUUUAUGAAUUUUGAAGUCCUAAAAAUAUAUCGAUACCCAAUCAUCACUAUUGAAGGAGUAGGAUUGUGUGUAGGCAAAUUUUUAACACAUUAUUAUGUGGAAUGGUCUCUGUGUGUAUGCAUUUUUAUAAUCGCGAUCAUAUUUAUAUAGUGGUGUGAAAAAUAUCGAUAAAUGGCCAUGAUUCCAAAGUAAUGCCAUUUUGUGAGAAUUAUAUAAAAAGAACUUUUUUCAAAUUUUAACAUGAUAUUUCUCGAUAUUUUUAUUUCCAUUCAAUAACAUACGGUAGAGGCGCUUAGUGGAGUAUUUAGUUCACCAACCAAUUGUUUGUCAUAUUAACACAAAGCACUAAAUCUGAUGUUGAUAAUCGGUGAAGGAAGCUUGAACUUUCGGGUGUCAUGAAACCUUAUCGAUACUUUAAAGUUUGCGAUACGUAAAUUUGUCGAAUAAAACGUCGUAUCGACUCUCCGCGUCACGUUUAUUAUAGUCAAUUUAUCGAUAGACUCAGCGUGUGAACAAAAACUUUUUCCAGGAAUAUCUUUUUUUUUAUCUCAAAUUUUGAAAAAGUUAUUGAUUUCCAGCAGGUCAAAUUUUCCGUCCCGAUCUAUUUUGUUAACUCUGAUUUCGCCCAUAUGGUCUUAUAUGUGUGUGUAUGUGUGAUGAAAUGUCUAGAAUAAUGUGUAGCACGUAUUAAAAUAGGGUAGUUGACGACAAACAAUAAUAGCAUAAAUAUAAAUAUAAAUAAAUAAAAUAAAAAACUCAAUAAGUUCAGCCAUAAUUUUUAUUCAAACAAAGCAUUUAAUUGAUCCAAUAUUUAGGAGCGUCUGUCCUGUUCUAGCAAAUGUGUUUUGAUCCAAAAUUAAACAGCAUUAAAGAUAGAUGUUAUUUUCAUGCUGUUUUCUCUCUAAUAUCGAUUUUCUUAAUUCUUCUAUCUUUUAUUUUUUUUUUAUUUUCACUUUGAAUAAGUGAUUUAUUUGUUUUUAAUAUUUUGAUCAUACUGUGUCAACUACCUUAUUGGAGAACCGUCAGUAGUAGGUGGUGGGGUGUAAAAGUCGGUACAGAGCAGGUUUUUAUCUGGGUAGAGUGAGGUUGGUGUCUUGAGGUAUUUUUUAUCGAUGUUUCACUAAUCGAUACUGCACUUGACGUUGAAUUGUUAUCGAUAGAAUGUGCAUCUCGUAUCCUGAAGGUAAAAUUUCGCUCAACCCUGAGAUCGGCUCUGUACUCUAUGAGCGCUUGUAGAGUUAUCUGACUUAUUACCGAACUGUUACUGCUAUUGUAUGCAAUCUUUUUGUUCGAAAAAUGGUAUUUUCUAAUUUACAAACCACGUUAUAUUUUAUUUUCCAUAAUCUAUUUAAGAGACGGAAGUCUAUAAGCGCUCCUUCUAUAAUGUACGUUUCUCGAAAGAAUAUUAACCAAUAAAUUGUACGAACGCAAAUAGUUCAUGCAAUUUGUUGACAAUUUAGUAUCGUUAAACGUGUCCACUUGUGGUAGUAUAGACGUCGACAAACAACUUGACCGAGUAUGCGAGGUCUGUGCGGAGUGAGGGAGACGGAAGUUGCUUUAUCUACCAAUCGUUCGGUCGAUACGUCGUACGGACAUCCGAUGGGUGAAGUUGUUUGUCGACAGCUACAUGUGGUUGUGUAGUAACCGUGUGGUUGGUGCAGGGCAGAUGUGCGAGCGCGUGGGCUGCUACCGGCAGCUGUCGCCCGACCACUCCAACAACACGUGAAUCCACGUACUUGUGAGGGUGGCACGUGGGCUCGGUGACUCACAACUCACCUGUAUACAUAAACCCUCCGCUUACACACCUCCUCCCCCCUCUCUAACUCGGUGCAAGACGAUCCGGAGCCUUAGCAUAGUGAUGUUGCGAAAACUAGUGUUCUAUGUGUGUCUAAAUUGUGUAGAGUUUUAUCGUAAGAGGGUUGUGCCAUUGCCGCGUAAGGACGCGUCCCGUGACGAACGCUGCCGCGCGACCACACAUGUGAUAUAAAGUGUGCUGAAUGAACUAUGGAGACGUUGUCAUGGUACUAAAACAUCGAUAUCGAUGUCCAUUUAUUUUUCACUUUUCCUCCGCAAGCCUUCGACUGUAAUAUGGAUGGUCACAAGGUAUGUUCGCAUCUAUGUAAAACGUAAUUCUUAUGACUGAUAUAAGUACAUUAUUUUCUGUGUACAUUACUUGUGAAGAGCUGUUGUUUUUUUUUUCAUGUGACUGUCGAUACAAUGUAUCGACUGUCGUUUCGGGUGUGUAGUGCACGAUUCGUUUUAAAUAUACUCUAAGUUUUUUUUAAUCGAGCGCAAUGUCGCGGAUUUUUUUGAAGGAUUACCAUCUUGGCGUCACUCGCGUGUCGUCGACUUAUUUUGAUAGUCCAUUGUGAAAGAUCUUUUUGAAAAAUCCGCGGCGAUUGUUACAAAGAAAAGUAUAGAGUAGUAUGCUAUAGUUAGGUACCGGCCAGUGUUGAAGAGAUUCUGUCGCGACGAAUGAAUUUUAUAAAAUGUGGAAAUGACUACUGUUCGAAUUGGAAAGAGAAAUAAUAAUAUGUUUAUUAUAGAACAUCGUAUUAAUUUUUAUGUGUACAUUAGAAUUCAAUGUGAAAAUCACGGAAAUUUGGCGGGUGUGUUGUCGCAUGGUUGAAUAUGGCAAUAUUGGGCCUUAUUUAGAUUUUGUUUGAGUAUACGAUACGGCUAUAUACUGCACAUAAACUCUCUAAUCUCGCAGUAUUAAUCGAUUUAAAAUCGGAUACUUUGACAGCAUCGCAUUAUCUAUAUAGAGACUGCAAGCCCUCACAGACUGCAGAACUUUUAUCGAUAGAGUCCAGUUUUAGAUCAGACUCAGUGCUGUACAUCACCGAAUCGUUAUAUUGUGAGAACUGAUAUUGAUAAAAAAAAACUAAAUUAUCGAUUUAAGAGUCUGUACUAAUAUUCCUUAUAGUUACAGUAUGAGGACUUAUCCCGAUUAAAAAGUCGGAACUAUCGACUAAAAAGUCUGUACUCUGCAAAGGCCCUGAAGGUUAAAAGUGAAUAUCGUUCCCGACAGUGUACCUGCCAGGUUCCCGUGAAUAAAUCGAUAUAACUUAGUGUUUCUGGUUACGACUUAAAAUUGUGAGAAAACAUAAUAAGGAACCAAUUUCAUGGUGGUGCUCUUAAUUUUUUGUUUUAUUCUUCGUCAAAAUAUUAAGAAGAUAAACUUUCUAUGUAUUCAAAUGUACUAUCGAUCAUUCGCGUUUACUUAUCGAUAAUGUGACGGUAAAAAAUAAUGUAUUAUUUUCUGUGGAAAAUAAUGUGAGGUUUGUGUUAUGCUGUAUUGUGACAAAUUCUUUUUAUCGAUUUAAUUUUAUCGAUACAUACGUUCUGUUUUUAAAACUUUAUUCGAUAUUUGAAUUUCCAUUAUCGAUACGUAAACGCGAGCGUCAUAAUAUAACGAGUCGACCAACAUUACCCAUGCCAACGAAUUAUCAACCAAAACGUAAUAAACGUUAUCUAUUCACAAACCAUCUCUAUUGAAAUCUUUUAGUUAAUAUCCUUUUAUAUGUUAAUUGUAAAAGAAAUACAAUGCCGUAUGCGCGAGGCAGAUUGUCCCACCAGCUUAGGUCCCGUUGAGGACGAAUAUUUUUUUUUUUUGUAUAUUUUCAAGAGAUCUCAUUGACUGCAGUCAUAUUUGUUUUAGGCUUUGGGUGGUCAUUCUGGGGGGGCUUUUUCAUAUAAUCGAUGUUUUUGAGAUAUUAUCCGAAUUUUACUAACAUAGUGUCAUUUUAAAUUGAGUAAAAUGUGUAUUUUAUUUUUUAAAAUGGCGCACAUGUUUGACGUCAUAAUUCUCUGUAAACGAAUAUAACUGUGUGUAAAAGUUCUCCCAAACGUUCCACCCGAUAUAAAACUGCUAAAACACAUUUUGUUGCAUAAAACCGUUAUUUUGUAAACAUAUAUGAAGGCCUACAGACACCCGUUUGUGAUGUAAUACAGAUAAAUUGCGUUAAGUGAAUAACUGCGGCCUUAUGUGUAUGAAUACAAAUGUAUUAUGAACUGUAUGCACCGAGUGGGUCACACUAUGGAUGGAAAAUAUCAAUAAAAAAUUGCAACAGUGCAAUUUUUGUUCAAUUAUAUUAUUAAGCUUUUUUCAUGACCCGACCCCUUUUAUUUUUUACUUCUACUAUAAUUUCUUGGCAAAUUAUUUUCUGACAUGUAUAAUUUCUUUUUAUCUGUUGACUCAUUUUUAAGUGAAAAAAAAAAACUUUUUUCUUAUAAAAACUGUUUUUUUUUACUGUUUUAAAUGUUCCCUUUGUAGUGUGAACCACUUCGGCACAGAUAUAACACGGUGUCCAAAACAAACGGAGAAAAUAAUUAUUUUUAAUUGUAAAUAUUAUUGUUAUGAUACAUAGUGGUUAUUUGAGAUCUGUUUUCUUCAUCAUAGUUUAGAUAGUCGUGUUGCAACCGAAUCGGCUUCUGACCGUCGCGAUUUCGGUAAAAUCUACACAUUACAACGAGGCGAAUCGUCCGAAAAGAAAACUUUUGUCGAAAUCGCGACGGUCAAAAGAUUUUUUUGGAUGAAAGAAUUUUAUCAUUCUGACAAUAGUUACUUAACUGAAUGCAUGGCUGGCCCAUGCGCGAAAUAAUAAAAAAAAAACAUGUGUAACUUUGGAAUCAUACCAUUAUUGUACGCUUAUUUUUGUACGUCUUCAGUGAGAAAUAAUUGCAAUAAAGCCUAUUUUCCCAUAGCGGCGUAUUCGAAAUAAAGGCAAAGGAUUGGCAUCCGAUACUCAUGCGGUCGACAUGCGGCCCCUUUGCGACUGAUGACCCUUCCCCCUCUGGAAGUGGCGACAGCAUCAGGCCGAGUUCUGGACUCGCGAGGACUAGAGUGGCCUUAGUGACAUUGUAAAAUCUCUUUUGGAGUUGUAUUUAGUGGUUUUGGUUAUGGUAUUUUUUUCAUAUGUAGUGUUCAGCCACGCUUAAACUUAUUCGCUAAGCAAAUGGUGUUACGUGAAGUCAUUUAGUACAAGCGCGUAGUGCCACAUUUGACUACGUUGUCUCUGUGGAGACGUAUUGUCAAUUUGUUAAGCAUAAGAUUACGCUGUAGGCCGAACCCGAAGUUUAAUAAUCUUUAUGAAAAAAGUCCAUAACAGCCAUCUGUGGUAUGAAUUCACACCUAAUCCGUUUUAUCUAUUUUACUUUUAUAAUUAUUAAACAGUUAAGUCACUCUGGUCCCCGCGGGCUCAGUUAUUCGUUUGUUUCUAUGACGUUUUGCGAGAGUUGAAGGAUUAUUGUGAUAAAGUGGCUUGGUAGUUAGCGGCGGCUCAAACCGAUGCGGCCUGAACACUGGUUCGAUUCCCGAGCUUGUACCUCGUUGCGGCUGGGUCAUGCGUCGUAUCCAACGGGAGCAUCAUCCCGUUCAGUUCCUAUACGACAGCGAGAUUAAUGACCCGUGCUUAAGUCAAUUAAAUUGGGUGAUGUGGGGUGAUUUGAGCCGUCAGCGGGGAUGAGAGAAUUCGAAAAAAAUGUCAUAAGUGUUGACCGACUUGACAAUUCACAACGUCAAAGUGUUUUGCGAAAAAAUUAACUCUAACCUUUAUGGCGUUUUUAUUGAAUUCUUAAGUUAGCAUAGUAAGGAAUAAUGAAUGAUUAAUGUUAGUAUAGAUCGUGUUUAGAUAGGAAUUAUUAACGUCAUAGAAAUGAAAAAAAAAAAAAUUACAAAAAAUUUAAAAUUUGUUCGUUUAGGUUAUAUUUUUUAAAAUUUCUUUAUUGAUAAGGAAAAAGUAGUCACACUAAUACUUCCAGUUUGUUCAAAAUCGAAAACAAUUUGUUUUUUUUUUUAAGUGUCAUGAAUUUGUUUCUUUGACUAAUUAGUUUGUAAUUUUUUUAUGGUAUCGCUUUCAGACGAAACUUAAUUUAAGCGUUUUUGGCUCACAUUCACGAUUUCCGUGCGUCGUUUGAUGUUAAUUUUAUUUUUGUCCAAAUUUUUUCUGUAAAUAAUGUCGAAAUUCUAAAAAAAAAUUGAAUAAUGAUUUGUGCCGAUCGAUUUUAAGUGUAAAUGUUAAGCAGCGAAUUACAAUCUAUUUGACGUCCGGUUUUUAAUAACGCGAUAUAUAUCAUCAAGUACAAAUUUAGAACUUUAGUUUGGACCGUCUCGUGCGGACGGGAGCGGGCUAAGUCAUUUAACUUAUUCUCCCGAUAUGAAUGAUAUUUUUAAAUGUAAAGAAAAAAACCAGCCACCUUUAGUAUUAAAGUAACCCCAUUCCAGGUAGAAGUUUUGACGAAUUGUUUUUUUUUUAUUUGUUUACACGCGAUGAAAACUCGUUAUUGGUUCGCUCGACCUCCCCACCACCACUUCCCCCUGUCCCCUCAUAAAGUUUUUAGCUUUAAAGAUUGUUGUUUGCCUUACAAAAAAAUGUGAUCUUAUGACGAUUAUACUUAAAGGAUGCCGCAGUGCGUCGCGGCCGUGGGACGUUUGUGUCGUGUUUUAUGCCAUAUUAUACAUUAUACUAACUGGUAUUUCUGUUCCGAGUCUUGAAAAAUUGUCUUCGUCUUCUUUAAAACUGAUUUUUGUCUCAACUGUUUUAUAUGUACUUUCACAUUUAAGAUUACGUUAAAAGGGUAUCCCACCUUUAAAACUCCAUUCACAAAUUAUCUAAACAUAACUUUUCAAUUCAAUGUGAAGUUACCCUCAUUUGGGAAUUGAACACAAACGCCUCGCGACCGCGACGAAUAUGAAAGAAUAUGCCUUUAUAAUGAUAACAAAUUGAAUUAUGUAAUAUUGUAAGAUUUGACAAACGUGAGGUGCGGUAGGCUCUGUGAAACAUACCGGUCAAUUGUGGGCGCUGAGGGGAGAGAUUUACUGAGGCGGGUUUGAUUUUAGGUGAGAAAUUGUAAGGUAUAUUAUGGGUCGUUUUGACUUUGCAUACGACGGAGUAGCAUGCUACAAUAAGCUAAGAAUCAAGCCUGUUUAUUAUAUAAAUUUAAAUUAAACUUAAAAAAUAAAUACCCACAUUUGAUAUCUUGGUCAAAAAGUAUUAACAAAAAUUUUAAUCGUAACUGAAUAAAAUAUUUCCAUGUUUUUAAAUUGCAAGAAACGUAUAAGCAAGUUAGCUCAUGACAACUUGUUGGGUAAUAAAGCGCUACGCGAGCAAGAAUGGCCUAUCUGCGAACUUCGCUACAAAAUUCCAUGAGACUGAAAUUGUUAGUCAGGUGAUUGAUAUAUUUGCAGCAUUAAUAAGAGUAUUUCGAAUAUGAUUUGUUUCUGUCGACGUUUUUUACAAGUUUUAUAAUCCUUUUUGAAUUAACAUUUAAUAUGUCAGUUAGACCAUUCUUGCCCCGAUGGUUUUAUUUCUUUUAUUAUCCCUUUUUCUAUCCGUACUUGUUACUAAUGUAAAAAAACAGAAUGGAUGAAAAAUUACGCUAAACCUUACACGAUAUAUCUGCCAACCGCCUUCGCACGUAAAUUGUAUCUCUUAAACUAUAAUGUAAAGAUUUUUCGAAACGAUUAAUCGUUUUGAAAAAUCGUAUUGCUAACAGCAGAUAUAUACGCCAUUAAUACAAGUAAAGCUCUCCCCACGACGUUUUUUUAAGUUAUUUAAGGAUCGUAAAAAAUUCUUAGUUCCACAAUCAUUGUUAUAAGCAAAAAUGUAAAAUUGUUUUAUCUUAGUAAGUAAAAGAUCUCAUGUCUUAUUUCUUUUGUUUUGUCUUUUUUAUAUUUUGAAGAAGUUCGGAAUAGUCGAGUUGAUUUAAAGACAACCAAUGUAAAAUAUAUUGAUGUACAUAA